rnacentral:rRNA from 1 species
CCUACGGGAGGCAGCAGUCGAGAAUCAUUCACAAUGGGGGAAACCCUGAUGGUGCGACGCCGCGUGGGGGAAUGAAGGUCUUCGGAUUGUAAACCCCUGUCAUGUGGGAGCAAAUUAAAAAGAUAGUACCACAAGAGGAAGCGACGGCUAACUCUGUGCCAGCAGCCGCGGUAAUCCAGAGGUCUCAAGCGUUGUUCGGCAUCACUUGGCUUAAAGGGUGCGGAGGCUGUUUCGUAAGUCGUGUGUGAAAGUGGGGGGCUCAACCCGCGGGCGGCAGAUGAUACUGCGCGACUAGAGUAAUGGAGGAGGAAGCGGAAUGCGUGGUGUAGCAGUGAAAUGCGUAGAUAUCGCGCGGAACACUCGUGGCGAAGGCAGGUUCCUGGACAUUAACUGACGCUGAGGCACGAAGGCCAGGGGAGCGAAAGGGAUUAGAUACCCGUGUAGUC